AGAGACUUUUAUAACAACAAGGGUGAAAUCUGUACUCAAGUUAAAUUUCUUGUUUAAAGCAUCUUUUAGGUAGUUAAACGACUAGGAUUAGAUACCCUAUUAGUCUAUCCUUAAUUAACCUGGGUAGUAAUAUUAAAACCUAAAGAAUUUGGCGGUUUCUAAACUUACUAGAGGAACCUGUCCCGUAAACGACAAUCCACGAAAAAAUCAACCCAAACUUGUUAUCCAGCUUAUAUACCGUCGUUUAGGGGAUUAAACAAAUAGAUCUCCUUAAGAGCUUAGGCUAAUAAAUCAGAUCAAGGUGUAGCUUAUGUUUGGGUGAGGAUGGGUUACAAUGAAAAUUCAUACGGAACCUUUAUAUUACUGUAAAGGAGAAGGUGGAUUUAGAAGUAAGACCUAACACACUGAAGAAAGCCCUGAGAAAUGUACACAUCGCCCGUCGCUCUCUUGUCCGAAGAGAUAAGUCGUAACAAAGUAGGUGUAUCGGAAGGUUCAUCUUGAAAGA
rnacentral:rRNA from 1 species